UACGGAGGGUGCAAGCGUUGUUCGGAAUCACUGGGCGUAAAGCGCGUGUAGGCGGCUAUCUAAGUCUGAUGUGAAAGCCCUGGGCUCAACUCAGGAAGUGCAUUGGAUACUGGAUAGCUGGGGUACCGGAGAGGAGGGUGGAAUUCCUGGUGUAGCGGUGAAAUGCGUAGAUAUCAGGAGGAACACCGGUGGCGAAGGCGUCCCUCUGGCCGGAUACUGACGCUGAGACGCGAAAGCGUGGGGAGCAAACAGG
rnacentral:rRNA from 1 species